rnacentral:rRNA from 1 species
AUUGAACGCUGGCGGCAUGCUUUACGCAUGCAAGUCGAACGGUAACAGGGUGCUUGCACCGCUGACGAGUGGCGAACGGGUGAGUAAUGCGUCGGAACGUGCCGAGUAGUGGGGGAUAACGCAGCGAAAGUUGUGCUAAUACCGCAUACGUACUGAGGUAGAAAGUGGGGGACCUUCGGGCCUCACGCUAUUCGAGCGGCCGACGUCUGAUUAGCUAGUAGGUGAGGUAAAGGCUCACCUAGGCGACGAUCAGUAGCGGGUCUGAGAGGAUGAUCCGCCACACUGGGACUGAGACACGGCCCAGACUCCUACGGGAGGCAGCAGUGGGGAAUUCUGGACAAUGGGCGAAAGCCUGAUUCAGCCAUGCCGCGUGUCUGAAGAAGGCCUUCGGGUUGUAAAGGACUUUUGUCAGGGAGGAAAUCCCUAGUGCUAAUAACACUGGGGGAUGACAGUACCUGAAGAAUAAGCACCGGCUAACUACGUGCCAGCCGCCGCUGUAA